CGGAAGAUAUAUAGCCUGUACCAGAGCAGCUGGAAUCAAAGCUACGUCAAUCGGUUAAAGCGAAGCAGACGGCUUCCCAAUGGCUCCUGCAACAGUUGUGAUCUUGUGGGCUCAUUUUGUCGGUGCGUUUGCCACUGAUGUUGCCGAUACCAUUUCUUGCACAGAUGGCAUCACAGACGAGAAUUCCAUAGACGGCUAUCAGUUUCUCAAAAGUGAUACCAGGCAUCACUUGCUUAUGACGAGCCUUAAAGACAUCUACAACCUUCCUGAUGGCACAUCCGUUACUUGUAUUGGUGCGCUAACAACGCAAUAUUCCGAUGAGGGGCAUGUAGUUACAGAGACCGUGGACUACAAAAACGCAACUACUGAGGAGUGG